AUUGAACGCUAGCGGCAUGCCUUACACAUGCAAGUCGAACGAUUGGCGAACGGGGGAGUAUUGUAUCGGAACGUGCCCCGUAGCGGGGGAUAACUACGCGAAAAGUAGCUAAUACUGCAUACUAUUGGAGCGGCCGAUAUCGGAUUAGCGAGUUGGUGGGGUAACGGCUCACCAAGGCGACGAUCCGUAGCUGGUUUGAGAGGACGACCAGCCACAUGUGGACUGGGACACGGACCAAACUCCUACGGGAGGCAGCAGUGGGGAAUUUUGGACAAUGGGGGGAAACCUGAUCCAGCCAUUCCGCGUGUGCGAUGAAGGCCUUCGGGUUGUAAAGCACUUUUGGCAGGGAAGCGGUACCUGCAGAAUAAGCACCGGCUAACUACGUGCCAGCAGCCGCGGUAAUUC
rnacentral:rRNA from 1 species